GUGCUCACUUUGGCAGCACAUAUACUAAAAUUGGAACUAUACAGAGAAGAUUAGCAUGGCCCCUGCACAAAAGCUAUACAGACUUAAGAGUAAUAACUUAAUAUC